CGUGGUAUCCUGUCUGAAUAUGGGGGGACCAUCCUCCAAGGCUAAAUACUCCUGACUGACCGAUAGUGAACCAGUACCGUGAGGGAAAGGCGAAAAGAACCCCGGCGAGGGGAGUGAAAAAGAACCUGAAACCGUGUACGUACAAGCAGUGGGAGCACAGAGCAAUCUGUGUGACUGCGUACCUUUUGUAUAAUGGGUCAGCGACUUAUAUUCUGUAGCAAGGUUAACCGAAUAGGGGAGCCGAAGGGAAACCGAGUCUUAACUGGGCGUUAAGUUGCAGGGUAUAGACCCGAAACCCGGUGAUCUAGCCAUGGGCAGGUUGAAGGUUGGGUAACACUAACUGGAGGACCGAACCGACUAAUGUUGAAAAAUUAGCGGAUGACUUGUGGCUGGGGGUGAAAGGCCAAUCAAACCGGGAGAUAGCUGGUUCUCCCCGAAAGCUAUUUAGGUAGCGCCUCGUGAAUUCAUCUCCGGGGGUAGAGCACUGUUUCGGCAAGGGGGUCAUCCCGACUUACCAACCCGAUGCAAACUGCGAAUACCGGAGAAUGUUAUCACGGGAGACACACGGCGGGUGCUAACGUCCGUCGUGAAGAGGGAAACAACCCAGACCGCCAGCUAAGGUCCCAAAGUCAUGGUUAAGUGGGAAACGAUGUGGGAAGGCCCAGACAGCCAGGAUGUUGGCUUAGAAGCAGCCAUCAUUUAAAGAAAGCGUAAUAGCUCACUGGUCGAGUCGGCCUGCGCGGAAGAUGUAACGGGGCUAAACCAUGCACCGAAGCUGCGGCAGCGACGCUUAUGCGUUGUUGGGUAGGGGAGCGUUCUGUAAGCCUGCGAAGGUGUGCUGUGAGGCAUGCUGGAGGUAUCAGAAGUGCGAAUGCUGACAUAAGUAACGAUAAAGCGGGUGAAAAGCCCGCUCGCCGGAAGACCAAGGGUUCCUGUCCAACGUUAAUCGGGGCAGGGUGAGUCGACCCCUAAGGCGAGGCCGAAAGGCGUAGUCGAUGGGAAACAGGUUAAUAUUCCUGUACUUGGUGUUACUGCGAAGGGGGGACGGAGAAGGCUAUGUUGGCCGGGCGACGGUUGUCCCGGUUUAAGCGUGUAGGCUGGUUUUCCAGGCAAAUCCGGAAAAUCAAGGCUGAGGCGUGAUGACGAGGCACUACGGUGCUGAAGCAACAAAUGCCCUGCUUCCAGGAAAAGCCUCUAAGCAUCAGGUAACAUCAAAUCGUACCCCAAACCGACACAGGUGGUCAGGUAGAGAAUACCAAGGCGCUUGAGAGAACUCGGGUGAAGGAACUAGGCAAAAUGGUGCCGUAACUUCGGGAGAAGGCACGCUGAUAUGUAGGUGAAGCGACUUGCUCGUGGAGCUGAAAUCAGUCGAAGAUACCAGCUGGCUGCAACUGUUUAUUAAAAACACAGCACUGUGCAAACACGAAAGUGGACGUAUACGGUGUGACGCCUGCCCGGUGCCGGAAGGUUAAUUGAUGGGGUCAGCGCAAGCGAAGCUCUUGAUCGAAGCCCCGGUAAACGGCGGCCGUAACUAUAACGGUCCUAAGGUAGCGAAAUUCCUUGUCGGGUAAGUUCCGACCUGCACGAAUGGCGUAAUGAUGGCCAGGCUGUCUCCACCCGAGACUCAGUGAAAUUGAACUCGCUGUGAAGAUGCAGUGUACCCGCGGCAAGACGGAAAGACCCCGUGAACCUUUACUAUAGCUUGACACUGAACAUUGAGCCUUGAUGUGUAGGAUAGGUGGGAGGCUUUGAAGUGUGGACGCCAGUCUGCAUGGAGCCGACCUUGAAAUACCACCCUUUAAUGUUUGAUGUUCUAACGUGGACCCGUAAUCCGGGUUGCGGACAGUGUCUGGUGGGUAGUUUGACUGGGGCGGUCUCCUCCUAAAGAGUAACGGAGGAGCACGAAGGUUGGCUAAUCCUGGUCGGACAUCAGGAGGUUAGUGCAAUGGCAUAAGCCAGCUUGACUGCGAGCGUGACGGCGCGAGCAGGUGCGAAAGCAGGUCAUAGUGAUCCGGUGGUUCUGAAUGGAAGGGCCAUCGCUCAACGGAUAAAAGGUACUCCGGGGAUAACAGGCUGAUACCGCCCAAGAGUUCAUAUCGACGGCGGUGUUUGGCACCUCGAUGUCGGCUCAUCACAUCCUGGGGCUGAAGUAGGUCCCAAGGGUAUGGCUGUUCGCCAUUUAAAGUGGUACGCGAGCUGGGUUUAGAACGUCGUGAGACAGUUCGGUCCCUAUCUGCCGUGGGCGCUGGAGAACUGAGGGGGGCUGCUCCUAGUACGAGAGGACCGGAGUGGACGCAUCACUGGUGUUCGGGUUGUCAUGCCAAUGGCACUGCCCGGUAGCUAAAUGCGGAAGAGAUAAGUGCUGAAAGCAUCUAAGCACGAAACUUGCCCCGAGAUGAGUUCUCCCUGACUCCUUGAGAGUCCUGAAGGAACGUUGAAGACGACGACGUUGAUAGGCCGGGUGUGUAAGCGCAGCGAUGCGUUGAGCUAACCGGUACUAAUGAACCGUGAGG
rnacentral:rRNA from 1 species